rnacentral:rRNA from 1 species
GAUGAACGCUAGCGAUAGGCUUAACACAUGCAAGUCGAGGGGCAGCAUGGUCUUAGCUUGCUAAGACUGAUGGCGACCGGCGCACGGGUGCGUAACGCGUAUGCAACUUGCCUCACAGAGGGGGAUAACCCGUCGAAAGACGGACUAAUACCGCGUACACUCUAUUUUGGGCAUCCAAGGUAGAGGAAAUGAAAUUCGCUGUGAGAUAGGCAUGCGUCCCAUUAGCUAGUUGGUGAGGUAACGGCUCACCAAGGCGACGAUGGGUAGGGGAACUGAGAGGUUGAACCCCCACACUGGUACUGAGACACGGACCAGACUCCUACGGGAGGCGGCAGUGAGGAAUAUUGGUCAAUGGGCGAGGGCCUGAACCAGCCAAGUCGCGUGAAGGAUGACUGUCUUAUGGAUGGUAAACUUCUUUUGUAGGGGAAUAAAGAGGGGCACGUGUGCCCCAGUGAAUGUACCCUACGAAUAAGCAUCGGCUAACUCCGUG